rnacentral:rRNA from 1 species
GACAGAGGGGGCAAGCGUUGCUCGGAAUCACUGGGCGUAAAGGGCGCGUAGGCGGGAUGGCAAGUCGGUCGUGAAAUCCUUCGGCUCAACCGAAGAACGUCGGCCGAUACUGCCGUUCUUGAGGGAUGCAGAGGAGAUUGGAAUUCCCGGUGUAGCGGUGAAAUGUGUAGAGAUCGGGAGGAACACCGGUGGCGAAGGCGGGUCUCUGGGCAUCUCCUGACGUUGAGGCGCGAAAGCGUGGGGAGCAAACGGG